GGCAGCGCUGGAGGUCCCGGGCCUGUGAGCGCAAAGAGGGAGCCGGGGGCCGGACGGGAGCGCGGCGGCGGUGGCUGAGGCCCAGGCCAGGGCCCCUCCCCUCAGCCUCCCGCCCGCCCGCCUGCCCCGCCCCUCCCCCAACCGCCAGACUAGCCUGGUGCGGGGGCCGCGCGCGAAGACAUGGGGGAGAAGUUUGAGCUGAGGCUGGAGUCACCUGUGGGGGCCGAGCCCGCCGUCUACCCAUGGCCAAUGCCGGUCUACUCUCUAAUCAACAUGGCAUCCAGAGAGAUCCUGGUAAAACAUAAGUCAGAUCAUGUCACUCAAGUCUCUUCAAUGGCUUCUUCACAGCUCGAGAGAGGCUAUAUUCAUCUGUGUUAAUCACUGCUGUGUUUCCUGAACAUGCCUAUGAAACAUACUGAAGAAUGGUGCCUGAAAUUUGAAACAGUAAAAUUUUCAUCUUACCUGGAAAUUGAAAAUAUACUGAACCAAAGAACGAAUGUCUCUGUCUGGGACCAUACAUUUAAACGUCAAGAGCGUACUCCACACUAUAGCAAAUGUACGAAGGAAAAACGGCAAGCUCAAGCUUCGAAAAUCCUCAACUAAGGAAGAAGUUUCUUUAAAAAAUAUAGCUAAGGCAAUGAGUAAAUAUUACAGACUUGCUCAUAUUUCUUAAGUACUGAGAAAACAAAGGAUAUCCAGACUUUCUCUAAUAUGAAUCUUAAGAAGUUUUGUGCAAGAAGUAAAAGAAGUCUCUCCUGGAGACCUGGAAGAUCCUGUAUCCAAGGAAGGUUGAGAUCAGGUGCUGGAUUGAUUUAUUGUGUGGAAAGAGCACCUGUGAAAUUGCUGGCAUUAAUCCUAGAAUCUGGAAGUUGAAUCUCUCCGAUGAAUCCUGACUCAAAUAUGUGAAUGCUUAUGGUGGCUUUGUUUGUAAUCUUGCAGCUGUUAAGAACUGAAAACAACCAAACAACCAAAAUGCCCUUCAGUCUGUGAUUCAGAAUAAUACUCAUUAAUAAAAAGGAAUGAACUAUUGAUACACACAACAGUAUGGUUGAAUCCCAAAUGCAUUCUGCCAAGUCCAAAGGCUAUAUACUGUAUGAUUCCAUUUAUAUGGCAUUCUGAAAAAGCAAAACUUCAGGGGCAAGAAACAGAUUUGUGGUUGUCAGAGGUUGGGGCUGAGGGAAGAGAUUGACUAUAAAGGGGCAUGGGAGAACUUUUUGGGGUAAUGGAACUGUUCUAUAUUCUGAUUGUAGUGGUAGUUAUAUAAUUGUAUGCAUUUGUCAAAUCUUGAAAAACUGUAUAGUAAAAAAAGUGACUUUUACUGCAUAUAAAUUAUAUCUUAAUUUAAAUAUUAACAACCUACUCCAUUAAAAAUGAAAUGAUAAAUAAGCUAAAAAAAUAAAACGCUUUGAAAAUA